GGAGGGAGCAUAAACAUUCCUAAAAAUAGGGUUUGGCUCUCCAAACCCCACAGCAAACUGGAAAGGGAGGGCAGGAGAGGCGGAGGGGCAGCCCGGGACUUCUGAAGAGGGUCCCUGCCGGGGCCGGGUCUUUCCCAUGUUCCUCUCCAGCUCUGAGGGUCCAGGCCUGGGUGUCUUCCCAGGGUGGGGGGAGGCCCGAGGGCAGUGUCUUGGCGUUUCUGGAUCUCAUGGCACCUUUGCAUGAAGCCUUGGGCACAGCGAGCCUGACAACAUCCAGAAGGAAGCCCUCGGCCGAGGGAGGAGGGGCCCUCGCGAUGGAGCUGCUUGUUUUCGUCUUUCAGGAACAGAUGUUUGAGCUACGAGGGCCACGAUGCACAUUUCUGCAAGCUGGAUCUCAUUUGCCUCUUCGGCUUCCAUUACGCAGCGGGGCUCCUCUCCCCCGGGGGACAUCCCGGCAGAUGGCCAGGGAGCAGCGUGGCGUGGAAGAUUCGUCCCUCCCCCCGCCAUGGCCACGUCCCUCUGCUGUGACCUUCCAGGGCUCCACUGGGCAUGAGCGCUCGUCAGCCCGGCGUUGGAGAGCCCUGCGUGGCACCUCACGGAUAGUCACACGCCUCGGAGAGGGCCAGCCCGCUGCGUCCCCAGGCUCCAGAACCAGGCCCACCACCCAGCAGGUGCUCAGUCAUGACUUGCUGCGACUGUGAAAUGCGUGCACAGCGUCGCCUGCCCUGGAAGACAGCAGAGGCAUGUCUCAGUGCACCGUGCCACUGCCGCCCGCCGUCAUCACCAUCCCCUGGAAGUGGCCUCUCUGCUGCAUACCCAGCCCCGGGAGCCACCUGCGCUCUGGGCCUCGGCCCCUCACUCCUCCACACGGCCCCCGUGUGGGCAUUGCUGCAGCAGGAUUCUCUUUUCAAAACUUUAUUUCUUCCCCAGUUUUAUUGGGAUCUAACUGACAUACAAUGUAUUAGUUUGGGGCGUACAACACGAUGACUUGAUAGAUGUGGGUAUCACGAUGAGCACCAGAAUCGCUCAGUUAGCGUCCAUCGCACACAGCCACACAGUCUUUAUCUUGUCAGGGGAACUUUGAUGAUUUGCUCUCUGGCAAGUUUCAAAUAUACGCUCCGGCCUCGUCACCUUCAGGCGGGAUUCCUCAGCGAUAUUCAUUCCCGUUUAUUCCCCGUCAUUCUCCCUCCUCCGAUUCCAAGACAGUUUGUCGCUCUGUGAAUUUUCUUGAUUUUGUUUUUACCAAGCAGGGAGUAGAAGCUUCUGGCAGACAGUUAUCUAUCUGCCUUGUAUUAAGCUGGGCUCUCUAGAGACACAGACCAAUGGGAUAUCCACAUCCACAUCCAUAUCCAUAUCAAUAUCUACAUCCACAUAUCAUCUGUAUCUAUGUCUGUCUAUCUAUCUAUCCAUCUGUCUGUCUGUCUGUCUAUCUACUUGUCUAUCUCCCUAUCUAGAGACUCAUUAGAAGGAAUUGGCUCACGUGGUUAUGGAGGCUGAGAAGCCCCACGAUUUGCCGUCUGCACGCUGGAGGCCCAGGAGGCCGUGGUGUAAGCUCCAGUCCGACUCUGGGUCCAAAGGCAGGGAAGACGGACGUCCCUGCGUGAAGACAGUCAGGCAGAGAGAGUGAAUCCUCCCUUACUCCCUUUUUGUUCUAUUCAGGCCUUCAACUGAUUGGACAAGGCCCACCCACAUUGGGGAGAACAAUCUGCUUCAGUCAGUCUAUGGAUUCAAAUGUUAAUCUCAUCCAGAAACACACCCAGAAUGGUGUUUGACCAAAUACCAGGGCAGCCCUUGGUCCAGCAAGCUGAUACAUAAAAUUAGCCAUCUCAUGCCUUUUGUGAAAACCCCAUGUAUUAAUCAGUCAGGGUAUAGGCUCAGCUGCUGUAACAAAGAAACCCCCAAACACACAGGUUCAGACAGGAGAGGAGUUUGUUUCUGCUGGGAGAUGUGCCAAGGGAGGCGAAGGCAGGAGAGUCUGGGGACCCUGUCCCUCCGUCUUGUUCCAGCAGCCCCAGGAUACAGUCCUUCACGGCCCCGGGGGGACGUGGAGCCAGAACCAGACCCACGUCUAGCUCUCAGAAGCGGGAGAGAAAGACAGUGGCGGGCAGGCGGCUGCUGCGAAAGUGGCACGACCGUUUCUGCGGCAUCCGACGGGAGCGAGGGCGUGGGGUGGGUGGCGGCUCAGCAUCCGGUCCCAGCUGCGCGCUCUCACAGGGCUGGGCGUCCCAGACCCAAUGUGAGCAGCUAUCGGCUCUGGAGCGGCGCCGAGGGAGAGGGGGUUCCACAGGCUGGAGUCGCAGAGCCAGGCUGGCCUGGUCACCUCAUCCCGCGGUGCUGCCGGGAGGGGACAGGAUCUGGGCGCUGCCUCUGCGCCCGCAUGGACGGCUGCCCGCCAUGCAGAUGCUGCGGAGCUUCCACCAGAGGGACCGCGGGCUGCAUCCUGCACAUCUUACGGGCGGCCGGAGGGACCCCUCGGUCAUUUGGUCUCUCAUCCGACACAGCACGGAGCAGCCCACUCCUGAGACCGAGACUGAAUUUCCUUGGAAUCG
ensembl:lncRNA